UACGUAGGGUGCAAGCGUUGUCCGGAAUUAUUGGGCGUAAAGAGCUCGUAGGCGGUUCGUCGCGUCGGCUGUGAAAACCCGGAGCUCAACUCCGGGCCUGCAGUCGAUACGGGCGGACUGGAGUGUUGCAGGGGAGACUGGAAUUCCUGGUGUAGCGGCGAAAUGCGCAGAUAUCAGGAGGAACACCGGUGGCGAAGGCGGGUCUCUGGGCAACUACUGACGCUGAGGAGCGAAAGCGUGGGGAGCGAACGGG
rnacentral:rRNA from 1 species